rnacentral:rRNA from 1 species
AGAGUUUGAUCCUGGCUCAGGAUGAACGCUAGCGGCAGGCUUAACACAUGCAAGUCGAGGGGCAGCACGGGUAGCAAUACCUGGUGGCGACCGGCAAACGGGUGCGGAACACGUACAGAAUCUACCUUUAUCUGGGGAAUAGCCCGAAGAAAUUCGGAUUAAUACCCCAUAAUAUAUUUAAGUGGCAUCACUUUGAAUAUUAAAACUCCGGUGGAUAGAGAUGACUGUGCGUCCCAUUAGCUAGUUGGUAGGGUAAAGGCCUACCAAGGCGACGAUGGGUAGCUGGUGUGAGAGCACGACCAGCCACACGGGCACUGAGACACGGGCCCGACUCCUACGGGAGGCAGCAGUGAGGAAUAUUGGUCAAUGGACGCAAGUCUGAACCAGCCAUGCCGCGUGAAGGAUGAAGGCGUUCUGCGUUGUAAACUUCUUUUAUCUGGGAAGAAACCUACGAUUUCUAUUGUAGCCGACGGUACCAGAGGAAUAAGCACCGGCUAACUCCGUGCCAGCAGCCGCGGUAAUACGGAGGGUGCAAGCGUUAUCCGGAUUCACUGGGUUUAAAGGGUGUGUAGGCGGGUAUUUAAGUCAGUGGUGAAAUCUCCAGGCUCAACCUGGAAACUGCCAUUGAUACUAUUUAUCUUGAAUCCUGUUGAGGUGGGCGGAAUAUAUCAUGUAGCGGUGAAAUGCUUAGAUAUGAUAUAGAACACCGAUUGCGAAGGCAGCUCACUAAGCAGGCAUUGACGCUGAGGCACGAAAGCGUGGGGAUCAAACAGGAUUAGAUACCCCGGUAGUCC